rnacentral:rRNA from 1 species
GACGAACGCUGGCGGCGUGCUUAACACAUGCAAGUCGAACGGAAAGGCCCUUCGGGGUACUCGAGUGGCGAACGGGUGAGUAACACGUGGGUGAUCUGCCCUGCACUUUGGGAUAAGCCUGGGAAACUGGGUCUAAUACCGAAUAGGACCACGCGCUUCAUGGUGUGUGGUGGAAAGCUUUUGCGGUGUGGGAUGGGCCCGCGGCCUAUCAGCUUGUUGUUGGGGUAAUGGCCUACCAAGGCGACGACGGGUAGCCGGCCUGAGAGGGUGACCGGCCACACUGGGACUGAGAUACGGCCCAGACUCCUACGGGAGGCAGCAGUGGGGAAUAUUGCACAAUGGGCGCAAGCCUGAUGCAGCGACGCCGCGUGAGGGAUGACGGCCUUCGGGUUGUAACCCUCUUUCAAUAGGGACGAAGCGCAAGUGACGGUACCUAUAGAAGAAGCACCGGCCAACUACGUG